rnacentral:rRNA from 3 species
CAACUUUCAACAACGGAUCUCUUGGCUCUCGCAUCGAUGAAGAACGCAGCGAAAUGCGAUACGUAAUGUGAAUUGCAGAAUUCAGUGAAUCAUCGAAUCUUUGAACGCACAUUGCACUCUCUGGUAUUCCGGAGAGUAUGCUUGUUUGAGUAUCUGU